rnacentral:piRNA from 1 species
UCUCAUGGUACUGGCAUCUGC